rnacentral:rRNA from 1 species
CCUACGGGAGGCAGCAGUAGGGAAUCUUCCGCAAUGGGCGAAAGCCUGACGGAGCAACGCCGCGUGAGUGAAGAAGGAUUUCGGUUCGUAAAGCUCUGUUGUUAGGGAAGAAUGAUUGUGUAGUAACUAUACACAGUAGAGACGGUACCUAACCAGAAAGCUACGGCUAACUACGUGCCAGCAGCCUGGGUAAUACGAAGGUGGCAAGCGUUGUCCGGAAUUAUUGGUCGGAACGGGCGCGCAGGUGGGUUUAUAAGUCUGAUGUGAAAGCCCACGGCUCAACCGUGGGGGGUCAUUGGAAACUGUUAAACUUGAGUGCAGGAGAGAAAAGUGGAAUUCCUAGUGUAGCGGUGAAAGGCGUAGAGAUUAGGAGGAACACCAGUGGCGAAGGCGGCUUUUUGGCCUGUAACUGACACUGAGGCGCGAAAGCGUGGGGAGCAAACAGGAUUAGAUACCCCAGUAGUC